AUGACGACCGGCGCACGGGUGCGUAACGCGUAUAGAACCUACCUUUUACAGAGGAAUAGCCUUUAGAAAUGAAGAUUAAUGCCUCAUGGUAUUGUAGACUGGCAUCAGUUUAUAAUUAAAGAUUUAUCGGUAAAAGAUGGCUAUGCGUCCUAUUAGUUAGUUGGUAAGGUAACGGCUUACCAAGACAGCGAUAGGUAGGGGUCCUGAGAGGGAGAUCCCCCACACUGGUACUGAGACACGGACCAGACUCCUACGGGAGGCAGCAGUGAGGAAUAUUGGACAAUGGAGGAGACUCUGAUCCAGCCAUGCCGCGUGUAGGAAGAAUGCCCUAUGGGUUGUAAACUACUUUUAUACAGGAAGAAACACUGGUAUGUAUACCAGCUUGACGGUACUGUAAGAAUAAGGACCGG
rnacentral:rRNA from 1 species